GAAUUAGAGCAAAUGAUGAAUUUGUAAAUUUUUCUUUGAAAAGUAGGCCUUUUGCAAAUCCUGAUUUUAUUGUAAAUACGUAUGCUACAGAUCCUAGGAAGUAGUAGGCAUGUUUUGAUUUCAAUGCACCUUUACUUCAAAAGUUAGUUUUUAAAGUGGCUAGACAAUCUACUUUCUUCUCUUAUUGUGAAAAGAAUUAGAGUACUUAUUUCUUUAUUCAUUUAUGUAGAAGGCAUAAAUUAACUCUAAAACGUGCAGAGAACUUGAUUUUUAUCCAUAAUAAUUUUUGUCUUCUGUCUAUAAAAUCCUCCUAAUAUUAUGAUGAGAAGAUAAAAUUGUAGGAUGUUGAUGGUGAUCAAUUUUGGAGUGUGGAAGAUGUGAGAGUUCUUGAGUUUGCCAACCUUUCAUUGGA
rnacentral:misc_RNA from 1 species